rnacentral:lncRNA from 1 species
AAUAUAUUUGAAUGUAUCUGCCAGAUCUGAGCCUAAACUCGUUAUCAGGUGAGGACAUUAAGGAAUAUUUAAGGGUAGCAAUAAUGUACUUUCAAUCGACUAGGACUUUAUCUUGUAUAAAGGAUAGUAAGAUCUUCUAAUGUAAAAAAAAAACAACAAAAAACUUAAUUCCUUAUUUGAAAAGGAAACCUAUCGACAUAGUUACAAAUAUAAAGGUAUAAAAGGAUCCAUAAAAUGCCUCUCUCACCCUAUCUUUGCGUUGUCUUCCAUAUUCCCCUAUUUCUGAAGACAUAUGUACCUCUUUUAGAAGAAAGCUAAGAAAAGAUUUUGAGAUGAUUUUGUGUAUUCGCAGUAUUUCUGUUUUUUUAACAAUAAAGUUUCAGCAUAAAGGAAUUUCCCAUAGAAUAGUGGAAAUGAUUCUUUCUAUAAAUAUGAUCUAUAAUCAACUUCUAUCAUGUAAGUAUGAAUGUAUAUUGUGUGCACACAGACUCAAAUAAAGCAAGAUCUGUACCCUGUAGGUUUCUGGUUUGGCAUUUUGUGUUAAAUCCAAGCAGUAAUGGCAAAAAAGAAAAGUUAAAUUAUAUACAGACCAACACUCCUAUUAACUCAUACCACUAAUGAAACAAAAAUCUAACUAAGCAGAGAAAAUGGGCCCACACAUUGGAGCUCUGAAAUGAUUCUGGUCUUUGAUCUGUGUGCCCAUCUCUCCUACUUAAUAUAAACUUCAAACCAAGAGCCAUGAAAAGUGGUUAUAAUUAGUAAGGGCCCCAGUGUGACAGCUUUUAGAGCAAUCAGGCAUUAACAACGUUUUCUUUCUCUUUAAUUCUGAGUAAAUUAAGCUGAGCAAACUUUUAUUUUAAAAUUUCUGUAAUUCAAAACACUUUCCCACCAGCGUGCACUUAGCACCCAAUUUCUGGGAGACGGGUUUGCUGGAAAACUUUAGUUUCCUUCUCUUAAUCUGUACCGAUAUUUAGGACUUAGCUUCUCAAAUUAUAGUGCUCUUUUCCAAAAAU